rnacentral:rRNA from 1 species
UGCAUUAGCUAGUUGGUAAGGUAACGGCUUACCAAGGCAACGAUGCAUAGCCGACCUGAGAGGGUGAUCGGCCACACUGGAACUGAGACACGGUCCAGACUCCUACGGGAGGCAGCAGUAGGGAAUCUUCCGCAAUGGGCGAAAGCCUGACGGAGCAACGCCGCGUGAGUGAUGAAGGUCUUCGGAUCGUAAAACUCUGUUAUUAGGGAAGAACAUAUGUGUAAGUAACUGUGCACAUCUUGACGGUACCUAAUCAGAAAGCCACGGCUAACUACGUGCCAGCAGCCGCGGUAAUACGUAGGUGGCAAGCGUUAUCCGGAAUUAUUGGGCGUAAAGCGCGCGUAGGCGGUUUUUUAAGUCUGAUGUGAAAGCCCACGGCUCAACCGUGGAGGGUCAUUGGAAACUGGAAAACUUGAGUGCAGAAGAGGAAAGUGGAAUUCCAUGUGUAGCGGUGAAAUGCGCAGAGAUAUGGAGGAACACCAGUGGCGAAGGCGACUUUCUGGUCUGUAACUGACGCUGAUGUGCGAAAGCGUGGGGAUCAAACAGGAUUAGAUACCCUGGUAGUCCACGCCGUAAACGAUGAGUGCUAAGUGUUAGGGGGUUUCCGCCCCUUAGUGCUGCAGCUAACGCAUUAAGCACUCCGCCUGGGGAGUACGACCGCAAGGUUGAAACUCAAAGGAAUUGACGGGGACCCGCACAAGCGGUGGAGCAUGUGGUUUAAUUCGAAGCAACGCGAAGAACCUUACCAAAUCUUGACAUCCUUUGACAACUCUAGAGAUAGAGCCUUCCCCUUCGGGGGACAAAGUGACAGGUGGUGCAUGGUUGUCGUCAGCUCGUGUCGUGAGAUGUUGGGUUAAGUCCCGCAACGAGCGCAACCCUUAAGCUUAGUUGCCAUCAUUAAGUUGGGCACUCUAAGUUGACUGCCGGUGACAAACCGGAGGAAGGUGGGGAUGACGUCAAAUCAUCAUGCCCCUUAUGAUUUGGGCUACACACGUGCUACAAUGGACAAUACAAAGGGCAGCGAAACCGCGAGGUCAAGCAAAUCCCAUAAAGUUGUUCUCAGUUCGGAUUGUAGUCUGCAACUCGACUACAUGAAGCUGGAAUCGCUAGUAAUCGUAGAUCAGCAUGCUACGGUGAAUACGUUCCCGGGUCUUGUACACACCGCCCGUCACACCACGAGAGUUUGUAACACCCGAAGCCGGUGGAGUAACCUUUUAGGAGCUAGCCGUCGAAGGUGGGACAAAUGAUUGGGGUGAAGUCGUAACAAGGUAGCCGUAUCGGAAGGUGCGGCUGGAUCACCUCCUUU